GUGAGGAAUAUUGGUCAAUGGGCGGGAGCCUGAACCAGCCAAGUCGCGUGAAGGAAGAAGGAUCUAUGGUUCGUAAACUUCUUUUGCAGGGGAAUAAAGUGCGGGACGUGUCCUGUUUUGUAUGUACCCUGAGAAUAAGGAUCGGCUAACUCCGUGCCAGCAGCCGCGGUAAUACGGAGGAUCCGAGCGUUAUCCGGAUUUAUUGGGUUUAAAGGGUGCGUAGGUGGUUUGAUAAGUCAGCGGUGAAAGUUUGCAGCUUAACUGUAAAAAUGCCGUUGAAACUGUCGGACUUGAGUGUAAAUGAGGUAGGCGGAAUGCGUGGUGUAGCGGUGAAAUGCAUAGAUAUCACGCAGAACUCCGAUUGCGAAGGCAGCUUACUAAGCUACAACUGACACUGAAGCACGAAAGCGUGGGGAUCAAACAGGAUUAGAAACCCUAGUAGUCC
rnacentral:rRNA from 1 species